rnacentral:lncRNA from 1 species
AGCUGGAUGGGUGAAGUGUUCCCUCAGUUCACAUAGACCAGGCUUCCUCUUUAGAGGCAUAAGCUGUAAAACAGGAGAGUCUGUUUUAAGAGGAUCUGUUUGAAGUUUAAUGUAACUGAAGUCCAUGCACCUGAAGCCAUUAAUUGAUAUAAGUGAAGUAAGUCUUUGGGUUUCCGGUAGCUCUGACUCAGAUUCUGCUUGCCUCUUCUCCAUGAGAUUACCAAGGCAUCAGGGCAGAGACUCCCUGAGGCUAUGCUAGAAGGGUACCAUUUGAAAAGGAAGUGUAUGACCCACCGUGAAAUGGAACUGGUAGCUGGUCACCCAGGUGCUCUUCCUUGUUAACUGAUGAGAGCGAUUAUUAUGUGAGAACUUUAACAACCUGCCAAAGGAUCCCGGGGCAAGAAUGAGAGCUGAACCAUUGAAAAGCUGAGCAUCGAAGUGCCUGGGAAGCCCAAAACUCAGCACAUUCAUGCUUUUGCUGGUUUUUGACCAUUGAGAAGAAAAAAGAGUCAGCAACCAGGGAGCAGGAUGAGUGGAUCUGGUUCAGAACAUCUGUGAACACAGAGGGAGUGGAAACUUCACUUUCAACAUCAUCAGCCAACUUCCCUCCCAUUACAAUUCUAUCUCAAGAUCAAGGUCAUGCAACAAAACCAGCAGUGGCCACAUCCACUACUCCUACAGUUCCGUUUCAGAGGCCAUCGGAGCUCUACAUCUAUUAUUUACUACCGAUAUCCACAUCAAGCCUCCCUCCCUUGCUCUUCAUGAAAUGCAUCCACGAUGGGACAUUGAUCUCAUUAUUCUGUGAGGAUCUGGUUGUUUGUCUGCAUCUUUCUCUACAUCUGGGAUCUGAAAUUUUCUUAUUGGAUAACGAAUCCCCAUCACAUACACACAUGAUAAAUAUUUGUUUAAUGGAAAAACAAAUGCAUGAGAGUGGCAUGAUGAAAACAGGUGAGUCUGGAUUAAAGCAAUUGGUCAUCUGUUUGGUCCAAUUCCCAGCAACCCAGGUUUGCAAAAGUGUGUGUUGCAAGAGCUGCUCUUGCUAUGAAAUGAUGCCAUGAAUGUAUAACCUGUUACUUACUUUAGAAUCCUUUUUACUUAAAAAAUAAUCUGACAAUGUCCAUUUCAAUACGUGGUUUUAAUGACAUGACCCCCUAACUACACUUUCUGAUCUGCAAAUUCCUGUUCUCAUGUAUUGUAUGGUUUUACAAACUGCACCUGUUUGAAAUGAACACAAAGCAAGAAACUGUUUAUGCAGAAAAACCAAGUGCUCUGCAUUCUCCAGUUCCUCAAGGAGAAUGUUUAUGUGGUUUACCUUGCGAAGCCAAAGGUCUUUUGCAGCACUUAUGCACCUGAAGGAAGCCCUGAGGGAUGGCAGAGUUAGCCUUCUGGUGGGUGAAGGUGCCAUGUGUCUUGUCUAUUUUAUCUCCUUCACCCACUACCUACCUCCUCCACCACCCC